UAGAUCACCUAUUCACUGGGAUGAGGUAGGUGAAAGAAAGUUCUUGGGUCCCGAGGCUGUUCAGAGAACAAGUGAGGCAGUUGAUAAAAUUAGAGCGCGAAUGCUCGCGGCUCAGAGCAGACAGAAGAGUUAUGCUGAUCCAAAGCGACGGGAUAUUAAUUUUCAGAUCGGGGACAUGGUGUUUCUCCGAAUAUCGCCGAUGAAAGGCAUCAAGCGCUUUGGUAAGAAAGGAAAACUUAGCCCCAGGUUCAUUGGACCUUUUGAAAUCCUUGAGAGGAUAGGGCAAGUAGCGUACAGGUUGGCUAUGCCCCCAGCGCUGGCAGCUGUACAUGAUGUGUUCCAUGUUUCGAUGCUUCGAAAAUAUGUCUCAGAUUCGUCCCAUAUCCUGAGUUAUGAAGCAUUAGAACUACAACCAGAUUUAUCAUAUGAGGAACAACCGGUGCAAAUACUUGACAGAAGGGAGAAAGUCUUGAGAAACAAGACAAUUGCACUGGUGAAAGUGUUAUGGAGGAACAGUAAAGUAGAAGAGGCAACCUGGGAACUCGAGACGGAUAUGCAGCAGAAAUAUCCAGAGUUGUUUAGGUAAAUUUCGGGACGAAAUUUCUAUAAGGAAGGGGUAAUUGUAAUACCCUGGAAUUAAGGAAAUGGAUUAGCAAAGCCCUAACUAGUUAAUUGAGUAUUAUUGUAGAAUUAUAUUAUAUUAUAAUUUAUUAUAUGCGAAUUAAUAUGAGAAAUGACAUGUUAAGACCCCGUUGGUGAGUUAGGGGCAUUUUAGUAAUUUUGACCCGAGAAGGGUAAAACUGUGAAUUUAAUUUAUUUAUGUGCUUAUGAACUAUAUUAUUAUAUAGUAUAUCUGGCGUGUCUUUUUUUCAGGUGUGUUCUGACAAGUUGGCGCGGUAUAGUCACAAUCGGGUAUUUCGGGCUGAACCGGGUUCGGGGCCGAAAUAUAAUUUUGGGAUAAAUUAUUGGCAUUUUAUUUAUGUGUGAAUAAUCUGAAAUUAUUUAAAUAUGUGUUAUAUAUGAAAUGAAUUCAAUGCCCUUGAUUGUUUGAGUAUGUGAGAAAUGGCCCUAGGGGCAAAAUGGUAAAUUGUAUUUUUGGAUUUAUUUUCAACUAAAGGCAUUAUUUGUAAAAAAAUGAAAUUCAUUUUCUGCAUUUACCUUAACCCUAAAACAGCCCCCUUCCCUCUCUCUCUCUCUAUCUCUCUUUGUAUUUGGUUGAAAAAUUGGUGAUUUGCUUGGUAUUCAAGCUUGAAAUUGAAGAAUUGUUUGAGGAGUUGUGGCUUGAUCAUUGCAUUGAAGCUUGAGGAUUACCGGUACUUGGUCAGGAGCACCCGGGGAUUUGGAAUCUCCAUAUUUGUGGGACAUCAGGAAAGGGUAAAUCUAUCUCUGAUCAGCCAUGAGUAUGGGAGUUGGGCGAUGUAUGUACAUGUUCGGGCCACACUAGACCAAGCGGGUUAGGGUCUACCUGCGUUGAAACUUUUGUAACUCUAUUUUUGCCGCUUAGGUCGGCUAAGGAGAAAAGACUUGUAAUAUUUUGUAAAAUGAUUUUUUUGGGAUCCCGAAACAUGUAACUUUUGUUUGUAAGGUUAAAAUUAUUACAAGUUUAUUUUCA